rnacentral:piRNA from 1 species
UCUGUGCCUUGCUUAUAUCACUUAGCAUAAU